ACGGAGGGGGCUAGCGUUGUUCGGAAUUACUGGGCGUAAAGGGCGUGUAGGCGGACUGGAAAGUUGGGGGUGAAAGCCCGAGGCUCAACCUCGGAACGGCCUUCAAAACUGCCAGUCUAGAGACCGGAAGAGGUGAGUAGAAUUCCCAGUGUAGAGGUGGAAUUCGUAGAUAUUGGGAAGAAUACCAGUGGCGAAGGCGGCUCACUGGUCCGGAUCUGACGCUGAGGCGCGAAAGCGUGGGGAGCGAACAGG
rnacentral:rRNA from 1 species